rnacentral:rRNA from 1 species
UGGGGAAUCUUGGACAAUGGGCGCAAGCCUGAUCCAGCCAUGCCGCGUGGAUGAUGAAGGCCUUAGGGUUGUAAAAUCCUUUCAACGGGGACGAUAAUGACGGUACCCGUAGAAGAAGCCCCGGCUAACUUCGUG